CUUUCACUCUCCUCAGCAUAGUUACUCGCUAACUCGAACCCUUUCUGGUUCUGCCGCACACACGAGAGCUCGAAAAAUCUAUCAAUUAUCGUCGCAAGCUGCACAACUCAGUGCCUCCAGACGCCCCAGCUUCCUGACGAGAGAGAACGUUUGGAAAUUUUCCCCCUCGGCUUGUUCCUGCACCUUGCGUAUAUACUUUUAUAAACGACUCCAGCCACUCGAGUGUUUCACUUAUCACAAAUCUCUUCGAGUGCUGUACUACCGAACAAAUUUUUCAGGGGUAGAGAUAAAACAAAUUUUAUCUUCAUUUUUUUUUCGUUCGUAUCUUAAUGACAGUGGCAAAUGAAUACCUUUGAUGUCGGAGGGGGAGGGGGGGAUCAGUUUAGCACAGAAAUUGGUUUAUCUGAGUCAGAAGUUCAAGGAAAUCAUGAAUGAUAAUGUGACGUUGGGAAACAACGGUGAUUCCCGAUUCCAAAGUGAGCAGCUGAAUUAUUUGUCCAUAUGACUAAAAAAUCUAGUUCAGAAUCGUCAGAUGUUCCAGUAUUACGAAGGGAUCCCACAAAAUCAUCUUAUUGGUUGAACCUCAUGAAGAUCACCCUCGUCUCAAGUUUCACAUGGCCCCCAAGUUAAGCAUCACGCGUGUGGUGAUAAUGCAGUGUUGAAACAGGGAGACUGUCUUUCACAGGGACAGCAUCAGCGGAGGAACCUUUUCCUCUCCCACGUGCUCUCUUAUCCCCUGGACGUUCAGUGUGCCUCGGUAGGAGGCUGAAAAACACGUGUUACACUGAGAUUCUCCAUCGGGUUAUGUACGCGUGGGGCUAGAGAUACGAAACGAUGAGGAAUUCCUUCAUCAAUCAUUCAAACCUGCUCUAACACGGAUCGAAAACUCAAAAUAAUGAUGUAAUCGGCGCUAAAUUGUAGUCCUCAGAUGCUUUUGAAGGGAGAAAAUUCGACUAAACCCACCGUUAUGAAGGACACGAGAGGCUUUCAGGACAGGCUCAUUGAAAAAUAUCUACGCAACAUCAGCUGACGGAAGUCCCUCCUUUAUCAAGUACUGCUGUCUCUAUAAUGACAGAGGAAUUGCCAUACACUGUUACGAGGAUAGCAUACGUAAUUGUUUUGCCCUUAUUUCAAUCGAUUAUUCGCUGCCCUUCGACUCGCUCGAGACGUAUAUUGUCAUCAUUUUCUUUCAUGUUUUUCAUUCGUUAUGUAAAUUGUGGAGAAUUAAUUCUUAUUUUUCGGAACAAUACAAGAUUUUUUGUUGGAUGAA